rnacentral:rRNA from 1 species
CCUACGGGUGGCAGCAGUGAGGAAUAUUGGUCAAUGGCCGAGAGCCUGAACCAGCCAAGUCGCGUGAGGGAAGACGGCCCUACGGGUUGUAAACCUCUUUUGUCGGGGAGCAAAGAGAGUCACGUGUGACUCAUUGAGAGUACCCGAAGAAAAAGCAUCGGCAAACUCCGUGCCAGCAGCCGCGGUAAUCCGGAGGAUGCGAGCGUUAUCCGGAUUUAUUGUGUUUAAAGGGUGCGCAGGCGGAGGUGCAAGUCAGCGGUCAAAUUGCGGGGCUCAACCCCGUACUGCCGUUGAAACUGCAUCCCUAGAGUGCGCGAGAAGUAUGCGGAAUGCGUGGUGUAGCGGUGAAAUGCAUAGAUAUCACGCAGAACUCCGAUUGCGAAGGCAGCAUACCGGCGCGCAACUGACGCUCAUGCACGAAAGCGUGGGUAUCGAACAGGAUUAGAUACCCGGGUAGUC